rfam:Schistosoma curassoni strain Dakar, Senegal genome assembly, scaffold: SCTD_scaffold0007143
AUCCAGCUGAUGAGCCCCAAACAUGACGAAACGCGCGUCCUGGAU